rnacentral:rRNA from 1 species
CGUACACUCCUACGGGAGGCAGCAGUGGGGAAUAUUGCACAAUGGGCGCAAGCCUGAUGCAGCCAUGCCGCGUGUGUGAAGAAGGCCUUCGGGUUGUAAAGCACUUUCAGCGGGGAGGAAGGCGAUACGGUUAAUAACCGUGUUGAUUGACGUUACCCGCAGAAGAAGCACCGGCUAACUCCGUGCCAGCAGCCGCGGUAAUACGGAGGGUGCAAGCGUUAAUCGGAAUUACUGGGCGUAAAGCGCACGCAGGCGGUCUGUCAAGUCGGAUGUGAAAUCCCCGGGCUCAACCUGGGAACUGCAUUCGAAACUGGCAGGCUUGAGUCUUGUAGAGGGGGGUAGAAUUCCAGGUGUAGCGGUGAAAUGCGUAGAGAUCUGGAGGAAUACCGGUGGCGAAGGCGGCCCCCUGGACAAAGACUGACGCUCAGGUGCGAAAGCGUGGGGAGCAAACAGGAUUAGAAACCCGAGUAGUCCCAU